UACGAAGGGGGCUAGCGUUGCUCGGAAUUACUGGGCGUAAAGCGCACGUAGGCGGCUUCUUAAGUCGGUGGUGAAAUCCUGGAGCUCAACUCCAGAACUGCCUUCGAUACUGGGAAGCUCGAGUCCGGGAGAGGUGAGUGGAACUGCGAGUGUAGAGGUGAAAUUCGUAGAUAUUCGCAAGAACACCAGUGGCGAAGGCGGCUCACUGGCCCGAUACUGACGCUGAGGUGCGAAAGCGUGGGGAGCAAACAGG
rnacentral:rRNA from 1 species